rnacentral:lncRNA from 1 species
CACGUGUAUAAUAACCUAAGAUGAUCAAAGGGAGAGGGGGCGAUGGUUUAUUGACGGAGGUCUUUGAGUUGUUCGGCGUGGGUCCGAGGGUUGAUGCCCUUGCGAAGGAAAUGCCAAAUGGCGGGGGAAGGGGAGAGUUCUUGGAUGGAGUUGAGGCCAAGCUGAGAUUUGAGCCGGGCAAUGUCCUUCGGGAUCAGGAAGAUUUGGUGAUGAUGGGGGAGAUGGUGGUGGUAGGAUAGGAGGAGGAGAAGAAAGAGUAGAGGGAGGGA